GACGAACGCUGGCGGCGUGCUUAACACAUGCAAGUCGAACGGAAAGGCCCUGCUUGCAGGGUACUCGAGUGGCGAACGGGGGAGUAACACGCGUGUGAUCUGCCCUUCACUUCGGGAUAAGCCUGGUAAACUGGGUCUAAUACCGGACAGAAGCCAUUUUUAUUGUGAUGGUUGGAUAGUUUUUUCGGUUUAGGAUGAGCUCGCGGGCUAUCAGCUUGUUGUUGGGGUAAUGGCCUACCAAGGCGGCGACGGGUAGCCGGCCUGAGGGGGUGGACGGCCACAUUGGGACUGAGGGACGGCCCAGACUCGUACGGGCGGCAGCAGUGGGGAAUCUUGCAGAAUGGGCGCAAGCCUGAUGAAGAGACGCCGCGUGGGGGAUGACGGCCUUCGGGUUGAAAACUACUUUCGCUAGGGACGAAGCUUUUUGUGACGGUACCUAGAUAAAAAGCACCGGCUAACUACGUG
rnacentral:rRNA from 1 species